GCCAAUCCCCGGGGUAGGCGGCGUCCGGCCGCAGCGCCGCGGGGGCGCUCUGCAGCCCCGAGCCCGGGCACCGCGGCCGUGCGCUCCCUCGGGCUCCGCCCGCUGGGCGCGGGGCGUGCGGCCGGCUCCAGGGGCGUCGGGUCUGGGAAGCAAGGAGUCUCUGAUAAGAUUGAAGUCACAAUGUGAAACUGUUGGUUUUAACCCAAAAGGGGACAAAACGUGGGCCUGAAGUCAGCAACUGUACCAUACUCCGGACUUGAAGCUAGAAACUAAAAGUAUAUGCACGUUGCCAGCCAGAUCUUUACCCUGCUUCUGACCAAGCUUCUGGAACGUGUGCUUCAAAUGCAUGCUCCUGGACAAUGACACAGCAUGGUGUUUUCACUGAGGAAACAUUCUCCUCAACCAGGGCACCUGGGUGGCUCAGUUGGUGACGUGUCCAGCUCUUGGUUUCGGCUUAGGUCAUGAUCUCACAGUUGGUGAGUUCGAGCCCCGCAUUAGGCUCUGUGCUGACAGCACAGAGCCUGCUUGGGAUUUUCAUUCUUCCUCUCUCUCUGCCCCUCCACUGCUCUCUGUCAAAAUAAAUAAGUAAACUUAUACAAUUUUUAAAGAAUAAAUAAAUAAUUUUUUCCCCUCAUAUCGGCUCAUUAACUCCUAAAGGAAAGAAAUACAGUUAACUUCACAUCCACUUAAAUGAGUAAAUUUGAACACAGGACUUUUUUUUUUCCUUUUUAGUUUCAUGUUUUUAAUAGAAAUCCAUAAGCAAUACAAUGGUGAUCCAUAAAGCCUAAAAUUAAAAAAAAAAAGAGCUAUUCUCAGAUGAGACAUUAAAAUGAGGAAAAGUAAAAUUCAACCGUGUGCCAAGUUUUGACUAGAAUCCAUUAAAGGAUACAAAUGAAAAGGAUUUCACUGAGUCUGCUUGAGGAAAACACUGCACCAUGCUUUUCCCAGAGCAUAUGUUUUGACAACCACUGUUCUACUUGAUUUUUAGGCUUAUAUGUAUUUCAAAGCAAAUGAAAUCCGUAUGUUUCUGAUACAUUGACACUCAACUCAUCAAAAUGUGCUUGUGCGAGCUUCUUGAAGUCUGAGCAGCUUCUAAACCAUGCUUAUCCUUGUGAAAUAAAACUCAAAGGCAAAAUUGGAUUGCAUUUAACUGUAUAAUUAUUUUUAAACCAUCUCAGGAAUUUUGCUGAACUCAUGUGGCUUAAUACACAUUAUUAUGCUAUCUUUUGGAAAUAGGCAAGCGGUAUAAAAUGUUUAGCCAAAUAAAGCCUCACUAUCCCUUC